ensembl:lncRNA
UGUCAUUAAAUUUGAGUAAAAUCACUGGCUUUGCAUAUCCCGUGCGAAUGCACAUAACAAAAUUCAUGUGGGGGCAGUUUCAAAAUCACUCAUCAUCCCCAGAUAAUACUAAUCCCGUGCAAAUAGGGCUUUAGAGAAAACAACAUAUACUCAAGCUGCAGUUUAGUUUAACUUGACUGUCAUAAUUGAAAUUCCCACCUUAGUGCAGUGUGUCAAGGAACUAAUAUCCUCAAUGAACAGAGGGAUCGAUACAGCAAGCACAAGCUCAGGGUCCUCCAGCUCAGCCCAAGAGAUGACACUGUCAUAUCUGAGUUUCCGGGCACGUCACAGUCCGAGGUUAGAGCCGUAAUACGGCGAAAGUGCAAUAACGAAAGUUUUGUUUCA